rnacentral:rRNA from 1 species
CCUACGGGAGGCAGCAGUGAGGAAUAUUGGUCAAUGGGAGAGCUCCUGAACCAGCCAAGCCGCGUGAGGGAAGACGGCCCUAUGGGUUGUAAACCUCUUUUGUUGGAGAACAAACCCCGGGACGUGUCCCGGACUGCGUGUAUCCGAAGCAAAAGCAUCGGCUAACUCCGUGCCAGCAGCCGCGGUAAUACGGAGGAUGCGAGCGUUAUCCGGAUUUAUUGGGUUUAAAGGGUGCGUAGGCGGUCCGUUAAGUCAGCGGUAAAAUUGCGGGGCUCAACCCCGUCGAGCCGUUGAAACUGGCAGACUUGAGUUGGCGAGAAGUACGCGGAAUGCGCGGGGUAGCGGUGAAAUGCAUAGAUAUCGCGCAGAACUCAGAGUGCGAAGGCAGCGUACCGGCGCCAGACUGACGCUGAGGCACGAAAGCGUGGGGAGCGAACAGGAUUAGAUACCCGAGUAGGC